GCGGCCCGAGGGACGGAGAAGCGCCGCGCUGCCUCCUGCGGGGGGCCGGGGCCCGGAGCGGCUCCUCGCCUGCUCACAGCCAGCGGGAAGCAGGGAGAGCUCAGCACAGCAGUGAAGUGGUGAGAACAUAGCCUGGUUUGGCUUUUAAGCACUGCAGAGGGCUGUAAGGACACCUGAGCUGCAGGUAAUCUUGUGAAGUGGGAAACAGCUGAUUUUAAGGUAAGCAAGAAUGACUUAAAGUAUGAAGAAACACCGAUUCAAGUCCAUUCUUACCUCAUUCAAAUGCUUGAUAAAGCAGGCACAAUGUAGCCAAUUGUGAGUAAAUCCCACCACCCUGGAUUUGGGUAAGCUGCUUGGGGUAAUUAAGAGAAAGUGUUUAAGCACAAUGGUCCUUGAAAUACUUAAAAUAUCAAAGAACAAAGUAGAUAAGAUAGAAAUGAGUACAAAUUAUUUUGAAUCUAUACUAAUAUAACCCUCUUUCUGCAAUCUUCUCUUGCUACUUAGUAUGUAAAAUCCCCUCUUAGGAAUGAAUGUGACAGUUCUUGCGAUAGCUCUGCAGACACUGGAUGCACUGCAUGUCUGCGCAUGGAUUUUGGAGACAUCCGUGAUGGGAAAAUACUGCAUCCCUCACACAGUCUCUGGUUACCAAGGCAAAGGCAGCUACAUUUCCAGGAAAAGACAAAGCCCUGGCUCUUCUCCAAGUUAUCCAAGUAAGAUCAGAAAGCACUCCUCCCCCAGCUGUGACACUUUCUAAGAAGGGAGAAAUUGAACAAAACACAUCCCAGAGUUGGUGUCAUCACCCUGCAGACAGGUUCUUGGCCCUGUGAAGCACAACCAAGUGUGUGCAACGAGCCAUUCUCCAUUUCUGAGACUGAUGGUGGCUGUGAAGCUGGAUGGCUUAUGGGAAAUCCUGCAAUUUAAUUUCAAGCCUUCUAGAAGACUCUCAUCUUCUUGUUGUAAUUGGUGUGGACAAGAAAAUAUGCUUGGAGCUGGGAAAUUUUCAAGAGUUAUUACACAUAAAGAAGUUGGUAACUUUGGUUUCAGACAUCUCUUAGGGAUACUGCUGCUUGCAGAUGAAGGGAAGCCUGGUUUUGCAUCAUGAGGCAAAGGACAACAAGGGUGUGUGGUUGUGAAUUCAAGUGCUGAGAUUUCAGAAAUGGAGUUAAAUAAAAACCUGCACAACUCUGCCUACAAGGAACCAUCGCAGGAAACGUAAAGACUUGUCUGAGAAGUGGGGUUCCUUUGAACACAAGCAGACAGCAGCUCACAUAUACUCAGCAAAUGGGCCAAGUAAGAGACAGAAUUACCUCCCCCUGUAAGCCCACAAGCCAAAACACAGCUGGUAGCACUAAUAUUAGUCCUGUCAAGCCUGGUAGUCUUCAUUUAUUAUGCAUCCUGCAAAUAAUUAUACAUAUAGUUAAGUUUAUAGCUCAGAAGCUGCAUUUAGUGGUUGGCAGGGUGUGCUCCUCACUUGGAGCAGUUGGCAGAGUAUUGCUCCUCUGACCUCAUUAGACUAACAUGAGGAGCAAGUCUGGUCCUUUAUAUAUUCAGAAUAAACCACAGGUCUUUCUAAUCUCUGCAUAUUAGGAGCAGAGGUCGCUACUCCUUUGGCUAUCAUCACAAUCUGAUUUAGGGUUUGUUUCAAGACGCUGUCUGGCCUUCCUUAAAGGCUGUGUGAAGUUCUUCUGAAGUUUGCAUCAACUUCCUGAGAGGGAUUAAAUAGGAUUACUUUUCCACAUUUUUGAAAGUUACUUUGCUUUCACUUUUGUGAAAAUUAAAGUACAGGAGGGUUGCUGCCCACUGUUUGCCCUGCUCAGAGACAAGGGGUGGUAAUUGAGAGUCCCAUGACACACACCUCUUUUUCUGGAGCAGGAGGAAAAGAGGUUGGAUCCAAACAGUCCAUAGUAAGCUAUUUUCAGCUCAGGCAUUCAUUAUUGCCACGAUCCACCAUCCAAAAUGCCUGCUUAUGCAAAAUGUGGAACUAGGCAUGUGCUGCCCAUUGUACAUCAAAGUAAUUGAUUUUUUAAAUAAUGGAAACUGUCUGAUUAAUCACUGGGGUAAAUCAAGCAGAACAGUAGAAAGAUGAGACACAAAAUAGGAAGAGAACCAGGACCAGUAAUAAAUCAUAAUAGAGGGUAU